rnacentral:rRNA from 1 species
UACGAAGGAUUCGAGCGUUUAUCCGGAUUUAUUGGGUUUAAAGGGUGCGUAGGUGGAUUAAUAAGUCAGUGGUGAAAGCCCGCAGCUCAACUGCGGAACUGCCAUUGAUACUGUUAGUCUUGAGUACAGUUGAGGUGGGCGGAAUGUGUCAUGUAGCGGUGAAAUGCUUAGAUAUGACACAGAACACCGAUUGCGAAGGCAGCUCACUAAGCUGUAACUGACACUGAGGCACGAAAGCGUGGGGAGCAAACAGG